CCGCUGCUGCUGUUGUGGAAUCCGGCUUCCCCCACCGCUCUGCAGCACUGACAUUUAGGACCACUGGCAUUCAUCUGUGAUGCCUAUCUGAGAAAUUCAUAUUCUGGUCGAAGGAGAAAAUGAAGAAAGAUGGGUCAAUAGCCAUCAGAAAAGUGAAAGAAACAACCCAAACAAAAGCACAUCGUAUGCUAACUGGAGAAACAGCAGU